UUAAUUGGAGACCUGUAUGAAUGGCAUAACGAGGGCUGGACUGUCUCCUCUUUCGAGUCAAUGAAGUUGAUCUCCCCGUGCAGAAGCGGGGAUAUUUACAUAAGACGAGAAGACCCUAUGGAGCUUGAGACGAUAAGGCAGCCCAUGUUAAACACCCUUAUUAACGGACUAAACUAAAUGGCCCCUGCUUUAGUGUCUUCGGUUGGGGCGACCCUGGGGAAUACAAAACCCCCACGUGGAAUAGGAGCACCCCCCCCCUUAACUCCCCGAAGCAAGAGCCACACCUCCGGUUAAAAAAAAUUUUGACCAAAAAUGAUCCGGCAAUGCCAAUAAACGGACCAAUUACCCCUGGGAUAAAAACCCAAAUCCCCUUUUAGAGCCCCUUUGGACAAGGGGGUUUACAACCUCGAUUUUGGAUCAGGACAUCCUAAUGGUGCACCCCCUUUUAAGGGUUCGUUUGUUCAACGAUUAAAGUCC
rnacentral:rRNA from 1 species